rnacentral:lncRNA from 1 species
AUGUACAUGCACAUGCACAUGCACAGGUGUAUGUGUGUGUGCAUGCUAGGGAAAGGGCCCAUGGGUGAAUUGGUGGGUGACAGGCACGAGGGACAGAGGGGCCUUCCCCACUCAAUAGGGCAGGAAGGAACCUGGGGGGUACGGAAGGAAUUGAAACCCAUCACGAGAUCAGGCAAGCUGGUGAAAGAAAUCCCCUUGCGCCUUUCUUUCAACAGAGCUGGCCUCUCCUGGCUCAGCGGCUGGCUCCUGCAUGAGCUUGGAGUGUCCCUGGGGUCUCUGGCUCCUUCCCUGUCCCACUUCCGACAAGGCUGUAGUUCUCCGGCUCCUCCGGCAGCUGUUCCCCACACCCAGGCCCUGUGCAGGCCGCCUCCCCUGGCUUGCCUGGACUCUUCACCACCCCCCAAUUUCCUGCCGCAGAGGGCAAGAGGAACUGACCCCAAGCAAGUUCUAGAAGGGAGAGAGGGAGCAGUGAGGGGAGAGGAUGAGGAUUGAGACUCUGGAAGGAGGUGACCCCCAGCAGACGUUGCC